AAACGGUAUACUGUACAGGUAAGACUAAAUGAUCCAGACUCACAUCAGUGAUGGCCUUCUUGGCCUUCUCCUCAGCAUUUCUGGCCUCCUGGACAAUGUCGUCCACCUCUCCCUGCACCUGAACCAAAUCUCGUCCACACCUGGGAAUGCAGCAGUCCCACUCUCUCGUUGGCGUCCACCAGCUCCUGCUCAGCCACUUUGCGGCCUCUCUCUGUCUGCUCCAGACCCACUCUCAGCUCCUCAAUCUCAGCCAACAUCAGACCGAAAAAUUAAGCCCUUGCUGUGAAAGUUAUUUAACUUUGUG